rnacentral:lncRNA from 14 species
UGGGACUGGGACUCAACUCAUCUGGGCUCUUCCACAGGGGCUUCGACAUCGGGAACCACUUCUGUGAGUGGACCUAUGACUACACACACCAUUCGUGGCCCUUCUUCAAGGCUACCCCGGAGAACUACCCCAGCCGGGAGCAGCAGGUAGAGCUGGGGGACAUUGGCUGCAUCCGAGGUCAAUGGAGUGAGCCAAUGGGAUGGGGUCAGUGAGGGAACCUGCACCUGGGUCACACCAACCCCUGCAGUGCUCCAGGACUGGGGAAGAGCAGCUGGAAAGGGCAAUGGAGCUGGAGCAGGGCCUGGAGCACAGGAGAUGGGGAAGGGCUGAGGGAACUGUGGGGUUCAGAUGGAGAAGAGAAGGCUCAGGGGGGACCUGAUGGCUCCUCCAAGUGCCUGCAGGAGGAUGGAGCCAGGAGGGGCUGGGCUCUGCUCCCAAGGAACAAGGGAUGGGACAAGAGGAACUGGCCUCAAGCUGCACCAGGGCAGGUUUAGAUGGAGCUGAGGAACAAUUCCUGCCCCACAGGGUGCUCAGGCAUUGGAACAGGCUGCCCAGGGCAGGGCUGCAGGCACCGGCCCUGCAAGGGUUCACACAGUGUGGAGAUGAGGCCUCAGUGCCAUGGGGCAGGGGUGGCCUUGGCAGAGCUGGGUUUAUAGUUGGACUGGAUGAGCAUGAAGGUGUUUUCCAACCCGGCUGAUCCCAUGGUCCUGUCCUUUCCUCCUUCAAUGCCCCCACACUUCCAUCCCACAGCUGCACUUCAUCCGUCACUACCUCUCGGAGGCCCCAGGCUACCGCAGGGAUGCAGCACCUGAGGAGCAGGCACGCACUGAGCAGGAGAUGCUCACCGAGAUCCAGCGGUGCGUGAGGGCACAGGACCCCCAUCAGCCCCAACCCUGCCCCCUGCUCCAUGGGGUGUGUGGGGCAGGACUGCUCCGUGGGGUGUGUGGGGCAGGACUGCUCUGUGGGGUGUAUGGGGCAGGGGUGACGGCUGCUCUCCCGCAGGUUCGUUUUGGCCUCUCACUUCUUCUGGGGGCUGUGGUCCAUCCUGCAGGCCAAGAUCUCCACCAUCGAGUUCGGGUACCUGGACUAUGCUCAGAGCCGCUUCGAGGCCUAUUUCCAGCACAAGGCGCAGUGCUGAACACCCACAACGUCCCAACGUGCAGCCUGUUUCCCUCUGCCAUGUCCCUCCCCACACCUCUAGGGCUGGUGCAGGGGCUGCACUGGGACCAGGGGCUGCUCCUUCCCCUCCCUCCGACAGCAGAAUGUGACUUGGACCAAUAAACACAGUGGCGAUGGUGGUGACAGUGGUGGUGACAGUGGUGAUGGUGAUGGAUGUGAUGGAUGUGAUGGUGGUGACAGUGGUGAUGGUGACAGUGGUGAUGGUGAUGGAUGUGAUGGUGGGGAUCAGUGCCUGCUCACCCUGUGUGGCUGCUGCUCUGCCCCCCAGCAGCACUGACCCCUUCUCCCCUGACCCCAUUGCUGGGGGCUGUGGCUGGGGCCAUGCAGUAGCACUGGGCUGGAGGAGACAGUAAUGGGCACAGCACCAGGACCCUGAGGUGCACUCUGCAACCCCCAAAGGGAGCAGGGACCCCCCCCAGCACCCUCCCCCUGCCUGCUCCUGCUUACCCUGCCUAUCCCUGCCUGCUCCUUGCAGCAGGGCCAUGCGGGUCACAGAGCUCCAGCACCUCUUCCCCUUUCCCACCAGCAUCAACUGGGGGCUCACGGCUUCACCCUCCCCACGGCCUCUGGGCCCUUGACACAUGUGGGGCAGCACUGGGGGUCAGAGCGUGCAGCAGGUGAUGGGACACACGCAUGUGUAUAUGUAUGUACCCAGCAUGGCUGAGGGAGGCAGUGUGCGGGUCCCUGCUCCAGGAUGGGGUCCCCCUCAGGAUGCUGGUGCUGGUCCUCCCCGGGGUAUAUGGGUUUGCCCCCGGUGGUUCUGCACCUUUGGGAUGCCCGGUUCCCCCCCCCCAGUGUCAGUGUCUCUGUCCUGGGGUCUCGGUCCCUGCAGGUGUGGAUCCCCCCCCGGUGCGGGUGUCUCCCAAGGGGUAUCCGGUGUCUCCGCCGUCCCUGCCGGUUCCUGACCGGUGCUGCGGAUCCCCCUCGGGCCGUGCGGGUCCCCCCGUGCGCGCUCCCGGGGCGGUGCCGCUGCCGCC